AAAAGGGACAAAAGAUGGCGGCUGUAAAAGAUGUGAAACCACAAUCGCCGCAUUUAAUCGAUGAAUUAGAGGAGUCAUUUCAGAUUACAGGAAAGAAAACACACACGAGAUGUGUAUUGAAACCAGAAGCGGUAUAGGGGGCUUUUCAGAACAGAUAAUCUGGACAUUUUUCAUAUUAGUGGAUGAAGAACUGCAUAGAAAGUUUAACCUCUCAAGAAUAUUUUAAUGUGCAAGACUAUGAUGAAGUUAAGACAGGGAUGGAAUUGAGUUUGCAGAAGUUCCUAGAACUUGCAAGGCAGACAGAGGCUUUCUUUCUGAAGAAACGUUUGAUUCUUUCCAAGCAAAAGCCGGAACAAUUUAUCAAAGAUGAAACAGAGGACUUGCGGGCAGAGUUGGAGAGAAAGGAUAUCAUGAUAAAAAAGCACCAAGAAAGACUACAAAAAUGGCAGGCAAUGUUAAAUAGUGUAAACAAAGGAUCCUUCUAUUCCUCUCAAGCCCAGCAGCAAAUGUCUGGGCCCUCAGGGGGGCAGCAGUAUAACCCCCAUGCUGUACCUCCGGGGCCCUACACAGGGAGUGGGGGGAUGCCUGGCCAGACUCACAUGGGGCUGUCUUCUUCGGCCAUGUCAGGUGGACAAUUCUCCCAGACCCUGCCUCAACAGUCCCCCCACAUGAUGAUGUCACGACAAGGCCCCACCCCCCACCAGCAACAGCCUCCCCCAUACAAUACCCAGGGACCCUUACAGUACCUGGAACAAAGCAUGUCAAAUAUUGGUCAGUCAUUGUCAAGACCCUAAUGCUGGUCUUCUUGUGAAUUUGUAUUACUGUAAUUACUUUUAUUUGUUGUACAUAUAUAUGAUACGUUUAUAUUAAAUGAAACCUUCUGAUGUCU
rnacentral:misc_RNA from 1 species